GAGAAGCCAAGCAGGGGAAACUGCAGGCUGCUAAAGUGAGAUUUUAAGUGGAUCUCAGCAGGGAACAAGGAAGGUGAAGAAAAGGCCAUGUCACCCAUAAACAACAACAUAACUAGUUGGUCAGUGCUCAGAUUUAAGGAUUAUGGAAGAUGGAAUUAAGAUAACUGCCAUGGCAACAUUUAAUAAAGGUGUUGAGGGCCAUCUAAACCAUCCAGCUGAGCCGGCUCAUCCUCCUGGGCAAUGUGGACCCCAUCAUUGCUGGCUUGGCUUCCAUGGGCUUCCCCAGCAGUGUGUGUGGGGCAUUGAUUCACCCACAUCCCCAUCCAGGCCUCCAAACACCGGGCAUCUUACUACAUUAACCACAAGGGGUACUUUUCUAUGGUCCUGCAGACUUCAUAGACCACCAAGGCCGGCUCACAAACAUCAACGUUGGGUGGUCAGGGAAGGCGCACAGUGCCUGCAUUUUCUGUAACUCUGGCCUAUAUGAGAAGAUGCAAGCCAGGACUUACUUACUUUCUUUCUUUCUUUCUUUCUUUCUUUCUUUCUUUCUUUCUUUCUUUCUUUCUUUCUUUCUUUCUUUCGACUGAAGUAUCCUCUUUUUGUGCACUAGCUGACCACCUUCUCUUCAUUAAA